UGGCAUGUUUCCAAAGUCUAUGGCUAAUCGUGGCCAUGGCAUCUCCAACUGCAUGCAAGAGGAACCUGGAAAGACUUUCUGGAGAGACUUUGACAGUGCAGGUCACCAAAACUAUUCUAACAAAAAUGUGUCCUAAAUACAUCUCUGUAUUUCUAACAAAGGCUGUUAUUUGACUUUUCUAUAAAC